rfam:Ovis aries breed Texel chromosome 15, whole genome shotgun sequence.
UCCCUCAUAGCUUAGUUGGUAAAGAAUCUGCCUGCAAUGCAGGAGACCUGGGUUUGAUUCCUGGGUCGGGGAG